CGGGACGGGGUGAGUAAUGUCUGGGAAACUGCCUGAUGGAGGGGGAUAACUACUGGAAACGGUAGCUAAUACCGCAUAACGUCGCAAGACCAAAGAGGGGACCUUCGGGCCUCUUGCCAUCGGAUGUGCCCAGAUGGGAUUAGCUAGUAGGUGGGGUAACGGCUCACCUAGGCGACGAUCCCUAGCUGGUCUGAGAGGAUGACCAGCCACACUGGAACUGAGACACGGUCCAG
rnacentral:rRNA from 1 species